GAUGAACGCUAGCUACAGGCUUAACACAUGCAAGUCGCGGGACAGCAUGGGGGUUGCUUGCCAUCCACGAUGGCGACCGGCGCACGGGUGAGUAACGCGUAUCCAACCUACCCUUCACCACGGGAUACCCCGGCGAAAGUCGGACUAAUACCGUAUGUUUUCCAUUGACGGCACCCGAUUUGGACGAGAGGCUUGUCGGACUGGGAUACGGAUGCGUCCGGCUAGCCCGACGGCGGGGUAACGGCCCACCGUGGGUACGAUAGGUAAGGGUUCUGAGAGGGAGGUCCCCCACACUGGAACUGAGACACCGUCCAGACACCUACGGGAGGCAGCAGUGAGCAAUAGUGGUCAACGGGCGUAAGCCUGAACCAGCCAAGUAGCGUGCAGGAGGACGGCCCUAUGGGUUGUAAUCUGCUUUGAGGCGGGGAUAAAGUUGACCACGUGUGGGCUUUUGCAGGUACCGCAUGAAUAAGGACCGGCUAAUCCCGUG
rnacentral:rRNA from 1 species